ACUUUCAAAGGACAGCAGUACUCCAAUAAUCUUAGGCAUUAUCACUUCUUGGUGCAACUCCAAGUGAAAGAA
rnacentral:tRNA from 1 species